AUUACUGCUGUGUAUGUGCUCCAUGUGAGUGACGUAGGUGCUUAUGUAGGUGCGUUCCGACUUACGGCGAAAAUCGUAUUACAUCGCGCCGUAGGAGUGGAUCUCCAACAUAACCCAAGGACCUACUGUAGCACCCUUUCUUUUCAGCUUGAAGAAAGUCCCUUUGG